GGUGCUAGUAGCUCAGUGGUAGAGCAUCUGCUUUGCAUUAAGAAGGUCCCAAGUUCAAUCCCUGGCAUUUCCA